UACGAAGGGGGCGAGCGUUGUUCGGAUUUACUAGGCGUAAAGGGCAGGUAGGUGGUUUGGUAAGUCUAUUGUGAAAGCUCCCGGCUUAACUGGGAGAGGCCAAUGGAUACUACCAAGCUUGAGUAUAGGAGAGGUUACUGGAAUUCCCGGUGUAGCGGUGAAAUGCGCAGAUAUCGGGAGGAACACCAAUGGCGAAAGCAGGUAACUGGACUAUUACUGACACUCAACUGCGAAAGCUAGGGGAGCAAACAGG
rnacentral:rRNA from 1 species